UCGUAGGGCUGUGAGCCCCUUCUGCUCUCCUUUGCCUACCAGCAGUUAUAUCUGUGGCUCCUCUGUGGAUCCUGUGGUUACCUUGACUGAAAUCCAGCACUAAGGAGGUGUCAGCGGAGCAAGUUCUUGUUGUGAAAGAUGCUGGUCAUCAAGUUAAUCUGUCGUCAUCGGCUGCCGGGGCAGACUUCCAAAAGGGUAUAAAAGCCUUCCCUUCGGGACGCUCCUGAAUCCCGGCGGCGUCUCCUUCCC